rnacentral:sRNA from 1 species
UGACCACCCGUGAGCGGGUUAAGGCCAUACGGACAGCCGGGUCAACUGCCGA